rnacentral:rRNA from 1 species
CGUCAGUUCGGACUGUAGGCUGCAACUCGCCUACACGAAGUUGGAAUUGCUAGUAAUCGUGGAUCAGCAUGCCACGGUGAAUACGUUCCCGGGUCUUGUACACACCGCCCGUCACACCAUGGGAGCUGGUAACACCCGAAGUCAGUAGUCUAACCGCAAGGGGACGCUGCCGAAGGUGGGAUUAGCGACUGGGGUGAAGUCGUAACAAGGUAGC